rnacentral:hammerhead_ribozyme from 1 species
AUCCAGAUGAAGAGUCUCAAACGGGACGACAUUGACAUCCUGGAU